rnacentral:rRNA from 1 species
UACGUAGGGCGCAAGCGUUAUCCGGAAUUAUUGGGCGUAAAGAGCUCGUAGGCGGUUUGUCGCGUCUGCCGUGAAAGUCCGGGGCUCAACUCCGGAUCUGCGGUGGGUACGGGCAGACUAGAGUGAUGUAGGGGAGACUGGAAUUCCUGGUGUAGCGGUGAAAUGCACAGAUAUCGCUUGGAACGCCGGUGGCGAAGGCGAUCUACUGGGCCGUACCUGACGCUGAUGCGCGAAAGCUAGGGGAGCGAACCGG